GGAUGUGAGGGUGGUCUGGCUGAGAAUCUAUCACCCUAUUGAUUGCCUGGGUCAAAUCAGCAGAUCUGGCUGGCUGGGAGGAUGUCUUCCUCCCUAGUCACUUCCAGUGCGCCCCUCCCUAAGGUGCGCAGCUGAAGAGGAUGAUCAGCCCUUAGAGGAGGACAGUUUCCCAGGUCAGGUGUGUACAAGGAGCUGCGAUUCUCUGCUGCAUCCUCCAAACAAUCUCUCAAGAAUGGGCAAAAGAAGAGGUCAGAUGGUCCACAGAAUAAUAGAUGAAAAUAGCUUU
ensembl:misc_RNA 7SK 7SK RNA